GCACGCCGGACAGGAGAAGCAAAGUUUUGCAUGUGCUGAUAUACAUGUGUUGUGUUCCGGUUAUCGGGUCACAGAAGUACAGAUGUGCUUAAAUUGAUUGCGGCUCAUGUGACUGGUGGAAGUGUGGAGAUGUUUCAGCUUUUCGAAAUCACAGACACAUGUGAUAAAAAAAAAGUUGAACAUCUAUCACUUUUUGGUCUCCUAAUGGAAUGUCUAGGCCAAGGGAAUCCCAUCACAGCCCAGGUCCAACUGUUCUAUGACCAAAGUAUGACUAAACUUAACAUCCAUGUGUUGCCAGAGAAUGUCCCAGUUGAAGAGGUGCAGAGGAAACAUGAGGGCAUCAUAUAAAUAACAAGCUUUUUAUGUCAGCUGAUCCCUGGUAAUACAUACAGGCCAUGCUGUAAAACUGACGACUAUGAUUAUAUUCACCAACCAGAGGAGGAGAAGUUUAAGUGUGACUACGGUACCAACUACCAGCCUACAUUAGAGGUGUUCCUCAAUUCUGAGGUCAAUAAAGUCACCUUUAGUCUUCUGGAAGAAAAUGGCCAAGUGGCGUUGAAGCCUCGUGAUGUCUUACUUCCAGACUCAGCAAGUGCAUCCAGAAGGUCGAAUGAUUCAGCUGUCUCGUACUUUUACCUACAUGAGGCCUGUUCCAGCUGAAUUUAGGACUGUUUACCAUCGCUUUCAGCUGUGGCAUCUGACCCAUGAACUCUCUAAAUUCUUGGACCAGCUCUGCUCUCCUGAACUUACUGAGCCUCUGACUCGCACUUCCUCCACCCAAACACCUUUGUCUGACCUCGUGGAUCAGGGAACUCAAACUGACGGCUGUCCUCAUGCUGAAACUUGCUGCCCUGAGCUGGGAUCUCCUGCCUCUCCUCCAUCUCCUGUUUAACAUCUUCUCCUUCUGAUUCUGGGGAUCCAGAUUAUUGUAGAGGAUUUUUUUUAUUGUUUUAUUAAAAGGGAUUGGGGUUUGUAGUUCAGAAUAUAUUAUUGAGAAUGUUCAGAAUAUUAUUAUUAUUCUUUCAAAGAGUAAAUAAAUUAAAAAAAAAUAUAACUGCAAUAAAAAAAAUUGCCUUCUUUAGUAGUAUGUCUGUAUAAAUCAAAAUGAAUAACAAAAUAAAAAAUAAAGGCUGAAAAAUCUUUUAACAGGUGAUCAUUUUAAGAUCAGUUUUUUAGGGUACAAGGAUCUUGUUAGAACAUAUGAUACACAUGGUCUUAGGGUAUUAAUGCUGACAAGUUGGUGGUGGUCAUUAUUGCCCUAAUGCCCACUGGGAGACGGGGUCUUUUUCAUGGCAAAUGGUUUGAUUGGAGUUAAAAGGAAAAAGAGGUAUACAGUUGUGGCCAAAAGUUGAAAAAUGAACUAAAGAGGUGGGCAAACAAACAAACACCCACAACUGAAUGAUUAUGUAAGAUGCUGCCAUCAGUCAGGAUGUCACUCAAUAGUCUCAAUAGUGAAUGACGUUUGGCGAAUAUCAAAGGUCUUUAAAAAGAAGGGUUAAAACUACAAGUACUGACUCGUUGCAUGAACUUAAUGUAAUCCUCAGUAAAAGCUUUAGAUACUUAUGAAAUUCUUGUAACUGUACUUCAGUAUACCAUCUGACAAAAAGAAUAA